AGUGAGCGUGGUGGUACUCUUAUAAUCCUUGCUACUGAGGAGAUCGAGGCUGGUGGAUCCUUUGAGCUCAGGAGUUCUUAGCUACAAUGUGAGCUAUACCAAGUAGGUGCAUCACUCAUGGUGAACCACUAUGGUGAAACCCUCAGGAGUCAGGGUGGGUUGGUUGUCAGGUUGCUUAAAGAGAAGUGAACUGGCUCAAGUCAGAAGUGGAGCAGGUUAAAGCUCCUGUGUGAGGCACUGGUGGGUUCAGGCUCAAGAGUAGCCUGUAUAUUUAUUCUGGGUAAGAUAGGGAGACCCAGUCCCUA
ensembl:misc_RNA Metazoa_SRP Metazoan signal recognition particle RNA